ensembl:lncRNA
GGAGAACCUAAAGGGUUAGGGUGGAGGCUGUUCUGACUGCAGCACUGUCAGGGAGGGAGAACCUAAAGGGUUAGGGUGGAGGCUGUUCUGACUGCAGCACUGUCAGGGAGGGAGAACCUAAAGGGUUAGGGUGGAGGCUGUUCUGACUGCAGUGAAUCUCAGUCCAUGAAUUUAGAGCUUUUCCUGGCAACCCAGACUCCUUGCUCUGGCCAAAUGUUGUGCUACUGCCAUUUGUUUCUUCUCUGCAAGGAGUCUGGAAUCUCCAGGAGAUGGAUAUAUUGUCUAAAUUAUCUAAAACAUUCUGAUUGGUCCUAGAAACUGAUGGGUUCCCUCUGAUAGGUCCAAGAAAUGGAUGGGCUGGACCAGAGCCAUGAGAAAAGAGUGAACAUGAGAAAAACUAAAUGUCAAAACGGCUUCUGUAGAGCUCUGAUUGGUCAGAGAUCAUCCAGUUGCUGAUAACUGUUUUGCACUCCCCUCAUUUCGAUGUCACCUGAAUGACUUCAGACUAGAAUAUGUUGUUAAUGCCCGUGAAGCAGAAUAUUCGUUUGAGGCACAAAUGAAUACCACCAUUUUACAGAAUAUUAGGAUUUGAAUGUUAUAUUCACCUUCAGAAUUGAUAGAAUAUAAAUGGAAUUCACCCCGCCACGCCCACACUGGUACUCAGCCCCCAGAGUUGUUUGUACCCAUAGUGUCUUUAUCUUUGUAUAUGACACUGUUGCCCAAACACAAACUACCAAAUGACUCUCAUGUUCUCUCAUCCUUCCUUGAUCUCUCCAGAAUCCUUUCCCUUGAUCUAGUGCUUUGGGUGUCUGUUUUUAAUUUCUUUAAGAAUUCUUCUUAGGCCAGUUAUUGGUCCAAAAUAUUCUGUACAGUUGUAAAGUUUUGACCUAUUUCAAUCUGCAUGGGCUUUCCAUUGCAAGCAAUAAGGAAUCGAUGUGUCUGUAUCUUUAGUCAGGAAACGUGAUUUGAUAAGACAUGAGAUUUGAUCGUAAGCUUAAUGAAUGUGUACAUAGUUAUAGUAUAUAAAAAGUGUAUAUGAAUGUGUUCUACGCACAUCCAUAUAGAUGACCAGCAUGCUAUUAGGGGAAAGAGCACUUACCUCUACUGUUUUCUAUCAGAAGAGUGGGGCUUAUAUAUGCAUGCUAUGAUGCAAAAAGAUGGAAGAGACCAUUGUUACUCUAGCAGGGUUGGGGGGGGUGUUUGGGAAAUCCAUUUUUUACAAUUGUAGGGAAGGGGUAAGUAGUGGUCUCUUGUAGCUGUUAUUUCUUAUAGACCUAACUAGACUAACUGGUAAUAAUAUUUACCUUACCAUUUACUUUUUUGUUAUCUUUUCACAGAGAACUAUUCUGAGAGCCCUGUGCUCAUCAGAUAUAUGCAAAAAGAAGCAGUAACUGUGAAUUAAUACUAGAUGGGGAAAAAGAACAAUCUACUUCGUCUCUUUUUUCACAAUGGCAGGAACAUGAGUGCCCAUAACUCAAUUUCUGCCUUUGACAACCACAUCGGCCAAAGCCAGCCCCAAUCUUACCCACUUUUCUACACACUCCAUAAACCUCUGUUGAACCUUUCUGUUUUUCCAUUCUGUCCUGUCCUGUAUUGUCCCUCUUCCACUUGAAAUGACAGGGCUUUAACUUCUUAAAGGAACAUAAGUUACUUUUGAGUAGCUUACAAGUGACCCAAACAUGCUGCCCUAAGUGGAGGGGAAACCCUCACAACGUAUGCCGUUUUGUUCCCUCCAGAAAUCAUCUAUAGGACAUCUACAGUGGGGUGUAGCGGUAAUCAGUGACCACGAGGAGUAAGAAAACAGAGUCACAUUGAAAUAAACCUCUUCCCCCGCAUUACAGAUUUAUGACAGAGUCAUGAUGGCAGAUAGCAAAAUAAAUCUCAUCUGUCUUUAACACUCUAAGGAUGGACUGUACUUUCUCUAGAGUUCAAAAGUGACCACCACUAGGCUGUGGAAACACCUGACUCCUUCUGCUGCGUAUAUGUGCAUCAUUUACCUUUUCAGCCUUAGGAUGCAUCUGAAAUGUCUAGGUUUUGAAAUGGCCCCCUACUGCCCAGGCCACUUUGGACACUGUCCUUAUAAUAAGAAUGGAAAUAGUCAAUAAUGAGUGUUCUCCCAUGAAAUAGUCCAGAAUGUGUGUUUCCCUAUUGAUUCCCCCAUGUUGGGACAGGAAAGGGUUGUCUUUAAACACAGCAAAAGGUCAACAGAUCAGUUGAGUGAAUUCUGAUUCUGUUAUGUGGGUCAUUGGUGGUGGAGAAGUUAAGGGUGUCGCUGGUGGAUGAUGUUCAUGUUUUCAUGUUAUCAUGCUAUCAUUUGUCAUGUUUCAUGUUUUCAUGUUAUCAUGCUAUCAUUGGAUCAUUGCUUUAAUGCAUAUGUAGUUACCUGUAAAAAAUAAAAACUUGUUCCAAAGAUGCUUCAAAAAGUAGGUCCAAACUAGCAAGAUUGAUUUUAAGAUGAUACAAUUUAGGAUGUUUGUAGCCUAGCCAAUUGAUGUACAAGUUAAUGUAAUAUCAUAGACACACUGUUCUUGACUACACCUCCCACUCUUCCCUCUUCUUCAUUUUUACCUGUUACUUCAGGCUUCAUUCACAACUCAGGUAUAUAUAUAUCUCUCUCUCUCUAUGUUGGUUGAAAUCAGUGCUUCCAGACAUUUUUGUCUAACAGAGCCGGACAGAGAGAAGGUUUGAAAUGUUCUGCUUCCUCUGCAGUUUGUGCAUACCUGUAAAUAUUGUGUGUUCUGUGUCCUCAUCCCUUGUUUUACCCCAUCUCGCCCUUCUCCAAUUGUUGCUUCUUUUCUAUUUUGAGAUGUGCCAUCUCUACUGCGUCCAUUACAAAAACCAAAAAUAACAGACUUUGGGGGAGAAAUUAAAUGACCACCACCAUAACGUGAACUCCAUCUUCCCUAAAGUGGAUUGCAAACGACUCCAGAGCAUAGAAGUGGACAGAAAGACUGUCAGGUGUUGCAGAUAUUGUUUUUUUCAUGCAGGGGAGGGGAGGGGGGGGAUAGGAACUGUAUAUACAUUUUUUUAAAAGAAGGUUUGUCAACAAAGGAAGAACCAUGAAAUGGAGGACAGUUUGGGGAAGAAAGAACAAAAACUAAAUGAGAGGAGGAACAAAGCUGGUCGCUUCUCAGUUGUUGAGUUUCUAAAAUCACCCUUUCUCUCCAAGAAGAGGGACAACCCUUAGGACACAAUUCACCCAGCGCCCCCUACUGGAUUUACUGUAGGCUGAAGGGAGACGUAGUUGGAGAGAGAAAGAGAGAGAGAUCUGAAAGGACGAUGAGAGGAGGAUGGAUGAAAAACUGACUGGAAGAGAUUAGUUGAUCUCUUGUUCCUGUGGACUGCUCAAUCUGCACCCUCCCUAUGAAACCUGACUCUGACUACCUGGAGAAAAAAAACACACUGAAACCCAUUCCUUAUGUCACCCUAUUCACACCUUAUAUCACUGUACUUCAGUCGUAAUAUGCUAAGUCAUUGCUAAAGAAAUUCCAAAUCAAUCAAACAAUAUCACAAAAGUUCCCUAAAACAGAACAAAAGGAACAUGGGACAGUAGAACAACGUUCCACAACUUGGUUGUCGUCCCAAUAUACCAUUAAGAUAAUAUAUGCUCUUGAAGUACAGUACUAUGCCGAAGUUUGGCUAUAUGGGGUAGGCUAUACAAACUAGCUGCAGCUGCAUUCUGAGAUUACACAGCAUUGUCAGCGUGGGUGGGACUCCUGAAAAUAAGAGCCAGGUGCUUGCCAAUGGCUAAAUUGACACACAAGCAUUUCUAUCUGUUAGGCGGCCAAACUAUGCAAAGCUUUGAGUUUGAACGACCACUGUGUCAGUCCACUGACUCGAGUCAGUUCACUGAGGUGGCAAUACCUACGUUCAGUCAGUCACACCUUUGAUUGACAACUCUUUUCUUAACUUCCACAAGAGACGCACUUUCCGAAGGUGGUGAAUUACAGUGGCUUAUGGAGCAACCAGACUCAUUUAAGAUACCAUGCCACUUGCCAUUUCAUACAAAGGCGUGUCUGACAAUACAAUAACUGACUGACUGACUAUGACUGAUGUUACAUGCAAGAGGGUGCCGUCUGAACUUGAGGAACCUACUCAUCCACAAAGGCCCAAAUACAACCUGAGUAUACUUGUGUGUGCUGAAGAGUUGAGGAGGAAACCAAUGGAGAGAGACACUGGAACAUGACCGCAACGCAAACGCUGUGACCAGAAGCGACUGCUUGGGAAACAAGGACAUACAGGACAUCGCCCUCUCUUUCUCCAUCUCUCCCUCUCUUUACCUCUGCCCUUCUGCAUCUCAGCAUCGCGCCUCCUCCGUAGCAAACUGCAUGGCAUGAACGAAAAUACCUGAAGAACGAAACCUACCGAACUAAAGAAUGAAGAGGGCGAUCAGAGAGACUCUUCAAACCAAACAAAUGAGGAAUCAACCUUGUUCAAAAAGAUCUGAUUGGUAACUAUCAGCAAGGGUCAACUUGACAACCGGUCUGCUGCUUGUUGAGAGAGUUUACUGUAAGGAUCUUUCUCCUCUCUAUAGGAAGUAGGAAGAUCAGAUCUGGGGGUUUUAGAAAGGUUCACAAGAAGUGCGGGAAAAGAGCGUGAAGAGGGUGAACUUUGAUGAACUAUUCCGGCAAAAGAAGUGGAAAAAUUGGGAAAUGCAUUUUUAUUACUUUGUUUACCAGCAUGACUAUUCUGCAUGACUCUACUUCUGCAAGCCCUAACCACCCCGCCUCCCCACCAAAAAAGAGGGCUAGGAAUAAAAAAAAAAGAACAAAAUCAAGAUGAAACUAAAAAGAUUUAUGUUAUAUGCAACUAAUAAAAAAAGCAGGAUUCUAUAAAAAAGGAGAUCUAUAUUUUGUUUUUGGAUAAUAAAAAAGGAAUAACGAAAAAAAUAUAUAGGAUUGCAAGAUACACAUUCAAUGAACUAUGUUUUCUUAAGAAACAAACCCCACAAAUCUUCCAGAGAUGAACUGUGAGGACCUUCCCCUGAUACUACUAUGACUACUCGCUCUGCUUUUUCUUCUACUACUGCUCACUCUCUGGUCCUACCGCCCCAAUGGCGCCCCCUGCUGCCAGUUCUCUGUGUCUUCCACCCUGCUGUCCAUUCAGGCCCCCUUUUCACUGUUCCAUCUGUCUGCAUAACUCUGUUUAGUUGGACUGUUCUUAGAUUAGAGGGUGGUAUUCACUACGAUAUGAACAAAGGAAAAUGGGACCGAUCGGGGACGGACUAUACCUGAACUUGCUCAAUGAGAAAUGUGGACUGUGCUCAAAUGGAUAUGACCAUGCUUUUGUUUUUCUUUCAGCCUUGUGCUUAAGAUGUUUGCUUCACCACUGGGGCCCUGGUGUAGACCCUAUGAGGUAAUAGUAAGGUAGCAUAGCGUUACCUAGCAGACAGUUUGUUAGCCAUGAACACACUCAGCCAGGACACACAAUAAAUCAGCACUGAUUACUUCAAGUAGCCCGGUAAUAUUAAUUUAUUUUCCUAGCUAGCUAGGUUGCUCCUGUAGCACUGGACUUAGUGGCCAUAGACAGCUCUUUCUUCCCUCAGACCUGAUACAUUAGUUCUGUGUGAUAAUGUCCUGCAGUCUUAUCUUCAUUAUUACAGGGAGGUGCAUAAUGUAUCAUUUUGGCAUUAAACACAUUCCUCCGCUCCCUGAGAGAAACUAGUUCCAGGUCACUAACUCUGCAGACAGUUGACCGUGUAUGUUUUACGCACGCUGGCGCCCCUAGCCCCUGGAGAAGCAGUCAUCUUUGCGCCAUUUUCUCAGAUGGGGUCAGCAUUGCCAGGAAAACGGCUGCUCAAAGACAUGUGAAUUUAACACCACACUCUGUGCAAAAUAUGUUUAAAUUGUUGUGGUGUCUGUAAAUGAACAGAAGCUCUUGUUGACGUUCCACCACCACUGACUGCCCUGCAGUAUGGCUGGAUGCAUUGCUAUAGCGUCGUUACCACACCCUCAGCAACAGAAACCAGUUUUCACUUUUUCCCUUCCAUGUUUCUUUGGCAAGUGAAAACCGUUGUGUCAUGUUGCCCCGGUAAACCUGUGUGUGUUGUCGUGCAGGUCAUUUCACGCCAGUCACCGCAAACCCUUAGCUAAGCCUACGACAGAGUUUAGCUCGUCUCCAGUAGCCUCUUGUUCUGCCUCUCCUGGGGUGCCGGUGUGAUGUGUAGGAUGUGGUUUAUCCCCAGAUAAGAGGGCCACGAUCUGAGCCAUGGCCUAGUUACUGGUAACAUUCUGAUCAAGCAGAGUGUCCCAGCAGGGCAGGGUUCAUCUCAGGGCUGUUAAUUAUUAAUCCAGCGGGGAGAAGAGAUUUUCAAUGGAUGUCACUUUUUACCGUUUCAAAUUCCAUUUGGGUUACAUUCAUUUGCGUGUUACCUUUUUUAUCACGUGCUCACUUGUGUUCACUUGCCAAAAUCAGACAGUUUGUUUGUGGGUUUGUUUAUUUGGUGUAACACAAUGAUAGAGAUUUUGAUGAUGUUCCAGAGAUGCUGAGUGAACUGUACUCAGAACUGAGCAUCUACCUAUGCAAGAGUUUGUAGCAUCCGAUUAUAAUUCAAUAUAUCAUCGUGCCAAAGGAGUUCAGUGUAUUGGGUCUGUCGUGUGUGGGAGGGCAAGAACAGGGCAAAGAAGGGGUUGGGGGAAACAGAGGCAGCUACUUCAUCUAGCAUGAUGCAUUGUUUACUGAAGUAAAUGGGAUUGGGGGGACCCUGGAGUUUGCCACUUGGGAGAAGUACAUGAACUCAAAGUUUCCAUUGUAUUCACUGGAUCUACUUCAUUCAUCUUAUGUUUGAAUCCUGCUACCAGACUCCCCGUUUCACAUAUCCCCCUCUCCUUCCAUUCAACUCCUCUCGCUUUCUAAAAAGUGUUAUUGGGGCACGGUGUCUGUUACCAAAAUUACAAAAAGUUUCAGUUGAGAGAGACAUAUGGAAGCAUUUCUCGCUGCAAGACGUUUCAUUCUGACAAUGGAAAUGACUGUAGGUUAGAGAAGGAUAGAGUGCCAGGUCAGUGGGAAGAAAAAAGGGGACGACCACAACUGGCACAAACAGUGAAAGAUAUGGACAGAUCAUACACCCCCACACCAUCCCUCUGGUAGAACACCUAGGCACAGAUCAUGCACCCCCACACCAUCCUUCUGGUAGAACACCUAGGCACAGAUCAUACACCCCCAUACCAUCCUUCUGGUAGAACACCUAGGCACAGAUCAUACACCCCCACACCAUCCUUCUGGUAGAACACCUAGGCAGAGAUCAUACACCCCCAUACCAUCCUUCUGGUAGAACACCUAGGCACAGAUCAUACACCCCCAUACCAUCCUUCUGGUAGAACGCCUAGGCACAGAUAAUGGAAAUAUUGAUGUUUCAUUACAUUGGAGGGGGAGGAGGGACUAUUGUCAUAGCAAUAAUUUGUUCCAAACCCUUGAUUUUGUGGGCCAGUCCCAUGCCAUGUCCCUAAACUUGUUAAGUAACUUUAAACCUAACUUUUAACCUUUAAAAAAAACACAGCAGGUAAGAAGUAGUAACUCUUUUUUAGAAAAGCAGCUAUUGAUUAAUUUGUCAUGUUUCCAUCAUGAUUCAGAAGCAUUUUUACCAACUCAUGUACUACUGGUGGAUCCUGAGCUGGUACCAUUGAACAACCUCCACAUGUGAAUGACUGGCCUACCGCAGUUGUCGGUUCCACAAUGUCAGUGAUAAUGUGUCAGGGGUAGUGUGUGACCCUGCUCCUGAACUUGAGCCACGCCCAUUUGAGAGGAAUGACAGCUCAACACUUGCAUAACUUUACUUGAAACCCAAAUACGAAACAUAUCAAGAGAGAAGCCGAGUAAAGCCAGAAAACCCCGCUGUCACGUAUUCUCUCUUACCCCCCGUCUUCCUCCCUCCCCCCUGUCUCCUAGCCCCCUCUCCUUCUUUCCCUCCUCCACACAUUUUUUGAGGAAGAAGCUCUUUUUGCAUCCCUGUUCUUGUGUUUUUCUAACAUAUUGUUUGAAGUUGAAUUCUAAUGCAUGCGUGGGAGAAAAAAAAGUAAAAAAUAUAACUUAUUUGUGAAUGGCCAGAAUGAAGUAACUCUCUUUUCGCCAGCAAUCUCUGUCUUCCUCUUUCUCUCUCAGCCAGUGGUGAGAGGACUGGGGGGCGGGGGGAAUAUGCAAAGUAAAAUGAAUUAACUAUUAAAAAAAAGAAAAAAUAUUUUUCUAUAUAGCUGUUUUACCUUCUUUUGUUUCAUUAUUUUGUUUUGUGUGGCUUGAUUGAAUUGGUAGGAAUAUAUUGGCUAUAUGUAUGUGAAUUGCUCUUGAAAGGAAAAGGAAGGUGAACUAGGCUCAGUUUCAUGAGUCCGAUAUUGUCACUGAUACACGUAAAACAUCUGGGAGAUCUCAGCAGUGCCAGUAUUAUAGCACCGGUCUGUCCCUUCUUUUACAUUGUUACGUGUGCACCUGUCCUAAACAUCGAUACAUCUUCACCCAUAGACCGACGCAUCAUGUAGCCUGUCACUUCAAAGAGUAUAACAUGUAUCUGUUUGGAUGCACAUCAUUGUUAUUCAUUUUAUCUGUGGUUCUCUGUUUUUAUUUUCUUCUUUUAUUCCUUUUUCUUAGCAUCUGCUGCCUUUUUUUGACCGAUUUAUUGGUUUGACUGCUGAUUUGUGUUGUACCUUUUUACAUUUGAAAAGUUACAUUGCACUAAAAACGGCAAUGCAGCUACCAUUUCUACUCGUCCUCUCAACUGUUGUGCUAUGACUACAUUGUCGCCAGCGAACAAGGCACUGGGUGCUGCCAUGCAACUUUCCUAUCAGGGGCAGAAGAGAGGGAAGACAGAGAUGGAGGAAGAGAAGGUUACUACAAUAACACUGAAUGGGGUUUAUGCUGUAAAGACAGAUGCUGGAUACAAUUUUAAUGUCAUAACACAGGAAAAUAAAAAAAACGAAUCAAGAACUGUAUAAAAUAUAUUUCAAUGGAAUGUUUAUUAUUUACCUUUUAUAUUUUUGAAACAUGUAAAGAAAAAAGAUGAAUAAACAGUAAUAAUUUAACAAAGUUUGUGAAAAAAGAGACUUAAAACAGUUCUAUUAUAAAAAGUAUGAAAGUUUGAAAGUGAAUGCUAAUUAAACUGAACAACUCUUCUCCUUUACAGAUAGGUAAAUAAAACAAGAAUAAUAAAAUUAUGAAAAAAACACAAAAUUUACUGGAAAAACAAACAAAUCCAAUUUAAAGAGAAAACAUCAAAACUCAAUAAAAAUGUUAAAAGCUUAUGCCAAAACUUUCAUUUGUGUCCUGUGCAUUUUUUUGUACACAUAACAAAUUCUAUCCUCACUGAUAUGGACCUGAAUAACUAAUUAAUGUUCAGGACAUUAAAUGGCAAUGCCUCGAUCACACCUACUGCAUCAUAGCCCUCUGGCACACCAGGAAAACGUUCCAUUCCAAUUCACCGCUACUGCAUAUUUGCAUUGCAGCACUGGGAUGUAAAGCUUCAGUAUGUACUGUGUGGUGUGUUAGAUUGAUCUAACAUACACAGUAAAUGGUUUGUAAACAGCUUGACGAAAAUUGUAACAAAGGUGAGUGUUGAACAUGCACAAAUACCCAUGUUGUAGGUGUGAUCAAGGUGACAUUUUAAACAUGAUUCUUGCACUGCACAUCAUCAUCAUUCCCUCAUCAAUUUUGUUCAUUUUAAUAAAAUAUGGCAUUUUUAAGUUGAUAAACUUAAGUCCCAAAAGUGCUAUAAGUUGUUACCUGUAAUACAUUUUAAUAAACUUAAAAAAAUAUAUAUACAGCUCUGGAAAUAAUUAAGAGACCACUGCACUUUUUUCUGUCCUUUCCAAAAAAGUUGA